rnacentral:rRNA from 1 species
UUAAACUGAAGAGUUUGAUCAUGGCUCAGAUUGAACGCUGGCGGCAGGCUUAACACAUGCAAGUCGAGCGGAAACGAUGAUAGCUUGCUAUCAGGCGUCGAGCGGCGGACGGGUGAGUAAUACUUAGGAAUCUACCUAGUAGUGGGGGAUAGCUCGGGGAAACUCGAAUUAAUACCGCAUACGUCCUACGGGAGAAAGCAGGGGAUCAUUAGACCUUGCGCUAUUAGAUGAGCCUAAGUCGGAUUAGCUAGAUGGUGGGGUAAAGGCCUACCAUGGCGACGAUCUGUAGCUGGUCUGAGAGGAUGAUCAGCCACACCGGGACUGAGACACGGCCCGGAC